rfam:Culex pipiens quinquefasciatus supercont3.1358 genomic scaffold, whole genome shotgun sequence.
GUUUCCGUGGUGUAGUGGUUAUCACAUCCACCUAUCACGCGGAAGGCACCCGGUUCCAUCCCGGGCGGAAACA